rnacentral:rRNA from 1 species
AACGGCCAUACCAUGCUGAAUAUACCGGUUCUCGUUAGAUCACCGAAGUCAAGCAUCAUUGGGCGCGGUCAGUACUUGGGUGGGUGACCACCUGGGAACACCGCG